rnacentral:rRNA from 1 species
UACGUAGGCAGCGAGCGUUGUUCGGAGUUACUGGGCGUAAAGGGUGUGUAGGCGGUUGUUUAAGUUUGGUGUGAAAUCUCCCGGCUCAACUGGGAGGGUGCGCCGAAUACUGAAUGACUUGGAGUGCGGGAGAGGAGAGUGGAAUUCCCGGUGUAGUGGUGAAAUGCGUAGAUAUCGGGAGGAACACCAGUGGCGAAGGCGACUUCCUGGCCUGUUCUUGACGCUGAGGCGCGAAAGCUAGGGGAGCAAACGGG